rnacentral:rRNA from 1 species
GUAAAUUUUCUAGCGAUACUGCCGUAAACGAGGAGGAAGUGGGAUGACGUCAAGUCAGCAUGGCCUUACGCCUUGGGCUACACACACGCUACAAUGGGUGAUACAACAGGUUGCGAAAGAGCGAUCUGGAGCUAAUCCCUAAAAUCAUCCUCAGUUCGGAUUGCAGGCUGAAACUGCCUGCAUGAAGUUGGAGUUGCUAGUAACCGCAGGUCAGCACACUGCGGUGAAUACGUUCUCCGGGCCUU